rnacentral:rRNA from 1 species
UACAGAGACUGCAAGCGUUAUUCGGAUUCACUGGGCGUAAAGGGUGCGCAGGCGGUUGGGUGUGUCAGAUGUGAAAUCCCGAGGCUUAACCUCGGAACUGCGUCUGAAACUACUCGACUAGAGUACUGGAGAGGAUAACGGAAUUCACGGUGUAGCAGUGAAAUGCGUAGAUAUCGUGAGGAACACCAGAGGCGAAGGCGGUUACCUGGACAGUUACUGACGCUCAGGCACGAAAGCAUGGGGAGCAAAAGGG